rnacentral:rRNA from 1 species
GCUGGGGUUCCACCUUGCUUGUGCAGCCCGCCGUUGCGUCUGGUCGGGUGUCUUUAAACGGAUGCCCGUCUUUGGACGUGACCCCUUUACCUUGAACAAAUCGGAGUGCUCAAAGCAGGCUCCUUUCGCUCGAACGGUAGCGCAUGGAAUAAUGGAAAAGGACCCGCUUCUUUUCUGUUGGUCUAGAGAAGGCAGGUAAUGAUCAAGAGGGACGGACGGGGGCAGAGGUAUGGCCCGGCGAGAGGUGAAAUUCUUGGACCCCGGCCAGACCCUCGAGAGCGAAAGCAUCUGCCAAGGAUGUUUCCAUUGAUCAAGAACGAAAGUCGCGGGAUCGAAGCGGAUUAGAGACCCGGACGUAGUCGCGACCGUAAACGAUGCCAACCGGGAAUUUGACAGCGUUACUUCCAUGACCUGCCAAGCGCCCGACCCGGGAAACCGAAAGUUUUUGGGUUCCGGGGGGAGUAUGGUUGCAAAGCUGAAACUUAAAGGGAUUGACGGAAGGGCACCACCAGGAGUGGAGCCUGCGGCUUAAUUUGACUCAACACGGGGAACCUCACCCGGCCCGGACACCGCGAGGAUUGACAGACUGAGAGCUCUUUCUCGAUUCGGUGGGUGGUGGUGCAUGGCCGUUCUUAGUUGGUGGAGCGAUCUGUCUGGUUAAUUCCGAUAACGAACGAGACCCCAUCCUGCUAACUAGCCCUCGGGUCCGGCUUCUGGCGGGCCCGAUGGAAUGACUCGCUUCUUAGAGGGACUCGCGGCGCCUAGCCGCACGAAGGGGGGCGAUAACAGGUCUGUGAUGCCCUUAGAUGUUCGGGGCUGCACGCGCGCUACACUGAAGGCACCAGCGUGCGCUUUGUCCGUUCCCUGCCUGAAAAGGCCGGGUAACCCGCUGAACCGCCUUCGUGCCUGGGAUAGGGAUUUGCAAUUAUCUCCCUUGAACGAGGAAUUCCCAGUAGGCGCGAGUCAUCAGCUCGCGUCGAUUACGUCCCUGCCCUUUGUACACACCGCCCGUCGCUACUACCGAU